AUCUCACUCUGCUUUGAGGUCUGAUGAUUUCAUCAGCUGUGCUACUGCAGGAGAAACUCAGGGAGCUGAACUCAAGUUUCAGCAGCUUCUUGUCUUCUACCUGCUACUAUUUGAAAGACUAAAGAAAUCCGUUCUUUUGUUCCUGCUACAUUCACUGUUUUCACUUUUUGAUUCAAGAUCUUUGGGAGGCCUUCUAUUACAUGUGGGAGACUGAAACUCUGGUUUCUAGGCAAGGAACACUAUUGGGACAUAAUAGCUCAUAAACCUGGAAGAAGUGUACCAAUAUUUAUAGACAAUAAAGGAAAAAUAUCUGGUAAACUGUAAACACUGAUGUCCAUAUUUAUUAAAUGCUGACCUAUUACUCUUUUAUUUGGGGACCAAUGGUGUGUUCCAAAAGUGAUUUUAACCUUCCAAGGAGCAAUAGGGAAAUCUCUCAAGAGUCCUAUGACAUGUGAGUGUAAAUAACUGUGAUGUUAUUCAGUGUCUGUAACUGUGAUUGUCCUGUAAGCAAGAUUGAAGUUCCUCAUGUUUCUCAAAAGUAGAAGGCAUAAAAGUACAUGGUAAGAUGUAGAUUUGCUCUAGGAUUUAUAGAUAUUUCUUUGCUAGAGAACAGACAGAUAAUUUCAAUCUGAUGUAUUUCCUACCUAUAAUUUUUAUGGAUUAGUAUCGUAUUUGAAUUAGAUAUUAUUUAAACCUUAUUGACUAGACAAGCAUAAAGGAACAAUCUGCUUGAUAGUAAUUCCUCACAGUCUACUGAAUGCACCACUGCCAUUACAAUGGCUGGUAUUUAAAGCAUACAGCUUUAUGGACUCUGCAGCUGGACAGAGCUCACACUGGGAGCAUGUGACAUUCAGCUAAAAUCUUAUGCUGGCUGCCUGGGGGCUGGUUUCAGGUGUGAUGCUGGGCUGUGUGCUGUAAUCCAGGCACUCCCCAUUUCUCUUAAACAAACUGGGCAGGAAACCCUGACAGGAGCCAAAAGCAAAUGUGGCUAAAGCGCAAAGAGAACGGUAGCACGGCUAUUGGCAAAGGCAAGAUUUUUGAAGAGGAAAUUUAUAUUGUCUAGCUCACUUCCAAGCUUACAACCUAUAUCAAUCUGCAAUCAAUCAUUGACUUGUUUUGGAUACCUACCUUAUAAAACUUUGCAGGAUUUAAAUUUUUGUAUUCUUUUAAAAUACAGCUGGAGGAGUAAACUGUAUUUGUAUCUUUCAUCUCUAUUCAAUGUUUAGUUCUUACUAUGCCAGAAUUCAGUUUCCUUUAUCUCAAGAUAAUGAAGUACACAUUUCUCACCACACAAAAUGUUUUUAGUUUAUUGUUCAAGGAGUGAGUGUAUAGGAUGUACUG